rnacentral:rRNA from 1 species
UCUGAUGUGAAGCCCACGGGCUCAACCGUGGAGGGUCAUUGGAAACUGGAAAACUUGAGUGCACAAGAGGAAAGUGGAAUUCCAUGUGUAGCGGUGAAAUGCUCAGAUAUAUGGAGGAACUCCAGUGGCGAAGGCGACUUUCUGGACUGUAACUGACGCUGAUGUGCGAAAGCGUGGGGAUCAAACAGGAUUAGAUACCCUGGUAGUCCACGCCGUAAACGAUGAGUGCUCGCUGUUAGGGGGUGUCCGCCCCUUAUAGCUGCAAGUAUUAAGUUUCCCACUCGGGCUGGACAGCACGACCGCAGGGACUAAACUGAAUUGACGGGGGCCCGACCCGGACGAGGAACGUGGGGUGUGAUUCAAUGAUACGCAACGAACCUAACCUGACCUUGAAUUGACGAGGAAUGAUUCCUCUAUAAAUAUGGGCUUCCCCUUCUCUGGAAAGGUGGUGCAGGGGUGCAUGGUUGUCGUGCCGUGAGGUGU